UUCAUGCACAUUAUUGGACACUUUAAUUUUUAAAAAUCUACAAUUACAUACCUUCAAGGCUGGCAGGCAGAGUAAGUAAAAUAAAUUGAAAUUAUGCUAUUGCUACAUGGCAGUGAUACUUAAGCUCUUAAUAAUCUCCAUUCUUUAGUAAUGUCCCCCGCCAAAAUAGCAUGGUUUACAUGCACAGGAAAAACUUCCAGAUGGUGAUAAUUCUUCAUAAUUAUUUAAAUAAUUUUUUUUAAAAAAUCCUUAUUUCUGAUAAAAUAGAAGUAACAUAAAAUUCAACAUCUUCACCAUUUUGAAGUGUACAGCUCAAUAGUGUUGGGUACAUUCACCUUGUUAAAAUCUUUUUAAUAUUCUAUUCUGUGCUGUCCAGUUUCUCAUCAAGUGUGAUGCUAUUCUCGAGGUGACCCUCAAAUCCAUGCCUGCACAAUAGAUGGGUUGAAUGAGCUAAAAUAUUAGGAAGAGAAGCAAAUCUUAUGAUGUAUGAGCCAUUCACUUAAAAGAGCACACUAUGAGAAGUGUGAGACACAUCACUGAGUAAAUAAAAAUGUGACAAUAAGGGAAUAUUGUGAGGACAAAGGAAAGUUAAUAGAGAAAAGCAGAAAAAAAAUUUCUGUAGACGUGACUACAAGACUAUUGUGAUUGUAAUGUGCCCCUCAGCCAAACUGGCUGUGGAUUUAUGUGCUUAGAAAUCUCACUGUUUCUCCUUAGAAUUUAUCCCUAUGGGGGUAAAAAUCCUGAUGAGGUAAGUUUAAAGAAUGCACCCUUGCAAAAACAAACAAUAAACAAACAAAAAACCACCCCAAUGAGACUGCUUUCUACUUUAUCCAGGAAUUUUGCAUCUCAAGUUAUGAAUAAUUUUGAUUAGUGGUUCUAGUGGUUUUUUUCCCUAAGCCUCUAGAUACAUGCUUCCAAACAAACCCAGAGCCCUACUAUAAAUAUCACUUGAUUCAUUAAAUAAAACUUUUCUUUUAAAGCUGAAUAUACAUUUUUGGUGUAUAUUAACAUCCAUGGUAUUUCCUUUUCCCUCAGGGGCACUAACAGUGGCUCACAAUUUUUCAUAUAAAAUCAUCAUUAACCUGAGGAGUGUUCCAACCCUUAUUCUCUUCCAAGCUGAGUUCUCUCACCUUUCCCAACAUAUUUUGAAGAGUGAGGCAUUUCUAAAGCAAGCUAUUCCUCUAUGGGCCUGAACAAAUGCCCUGUCUCUCCUCUAUUGCACGUGGAGAAAUGAGAUGGUACUCACCACACUAAAGAAAGCCAGGCCAUUGGGAAGAAUGUCAAUAUCUUCAGCACCAGCUUCUGUAAGUUCAAGCAAGUGGAGAAAUAUCAUUUUCAGAUUGUUAUUCAUUAGAGAUAGCAUCACUGGGACUUUGUUUAUUCUAUCAGAGUGUCUGUAUCUUUAUGGAUGGUUCCAGUUUAUUCCAGGACUCUAUUCUCUUUAAUAAAUGUCAGUCUAAAACCUUU